rnacentral:rRNA from 1 species
CCUACGGGUGGCAGCAGUGGGGAAUAUUUCACAAUGGGCGCAAGCCUGAUGCAGCAACGCCGCGUGAGCGAAGAAGGUUUUCGGAUUUUACAGCUCUUGUCUUGUGGAAGAAGGUAGUGACGGUACUCAAGCAGGAAGCCCCGGCUAACUACGGGCAAGCAGCCGCGGUAAUACGUGGGGGGCAACGGUUAUCCGGAGUUAUUGGGGGUAAAGAGUACGUAGGUGGUUUUGUAAGCGCGGGGUGAAAGGCAGUGGGUUACCCAGUGUAAGCCUUGGGAACUGCAAGACUAGAGUGCAGGAGAGGAAAGCGGAAUUCCUAGUGUAGCGGUGAAAUGCUUAGAUAUUAGGAGGAACACCAGUGGCGAAGGCGGCUUUCUGGACUGUAACUGACACUGAGGUACGAAAGCGUGGGGAGCAAACAGGAUUAGAUACCCGGGUAGUC